rnacentral:rRNA from 1 species
UACGAAGGGGGCUAGCGUUGUUCGGAAUUACUGGGCGUAAAGCGCGCGCAGGCGGUUUUCCAAGUCAGUGGUGAAAGCCCGGAGCUCAACUCCGGAACUGCCAUUGAAACUGUUAAACUUGAGGACGAGAGAGGUGAGUGGAACUGCGAGUGUAGAGGUGAAAUUCGUAGAUAUUCGCAAGAACACCAGUGGCGAAGGCGGCUCACUGGCCCGGUACUGACGCUGAGGUGCGAAAGCGUGGGGAGCAAACAGG